CACUGCUCUUUCAUGAUAGAGCCAGCGAUUCUUCAACAGACAGCCAGCAGCUUCAAUCACUUUUGUACAGCAGAUGGCUUCCCCCUUCACUGAACUGGAGAACUACGUCAUUCUUUUUUCUUUACUAGUCUUCAGUCUGUUUACUCUACAUGGCAUGAUACAAGAGAGAUGCACAGCUACUACAGAACCAGAAGAACCACAACAGCCUGUCAUAGUCUGAGCCCUACACUAAUUUGUGUUGGCAAAAGAUGCUGCAGGAUAUGUUCUGGAUAAAUCCCCGUUUAAAGGCUGUACUGGGAUCUGUGUGGAAAAGUGUGAAGCAUGGCAGGAUAUAACGGCCUAUUGGACGUCUAUGGACUGAUCCAAGACCAGCUCUGGAGCCUACUGGACUGUAUGGGUUGAAGAGGUUUUCUUCGGCUUUGAUUCUUAAUGGCACUUAAUAACCUCAGGUGCUCCACAGACUCUGAUAAUGCACAAGUGUGUGUAUUUGUGUAAGGGGCAUGUCAGUGAGGUGUGCAAGUGAAAGGUGCAUUAUGCGCUGACGUGGUUUAUGGAGUGCUCUUAGAGGCAGAGGACUUUGGCUGCUAUGAGGAGACGCUUGUAGAACACAGUGCUAUUUAUACUGUACUUGAAGGCAAUGAAGAUGAAGACAGAUUUUGGACU